AUUGUUCUUUCUCUCUUCAGAUCAUAUAAAUCUUUCGCCUUUUACUAAAGAUUUCCAUGGAGAGGAACAUUUUGACUAUAACAUUACAAAAUCUGAAAUGCUUACAGAGAAAAGAAA